rnacentral:rRNA from 1 species
CGCGUAGAAAACUGCCCAGUAGUGGGGGAUAGCCCAGAGAAAUUUGGAUUAAUACCGCAUACGCCCUACGGGGGAAAGGGGGCGUUCGGCUCUCGCUAUUGGAUGUGUCUGCGUGGGAUUAGCUAGUUGGUGAGGUAAGGGCUCACCAAGGCGACGAUCCCUAGCUGGGUCUGAGAGGAUGAUCAGCCACAUUGGGACUGAGACACGGCCCAAACUCCUACGGGAGGCAGCAGUGGGGAAUCUUGCGCAAUGGGCGAAAGCCUGACGCAGCCAUGCCGCGUGGACGAUGAAGGUCUUAGG